AUGUUGGAGAGGAUGCAGCUGCUGAAAGCUACUCAGACAGCUCAGAUUUUGAUGACUUUUGAAGAAAACGGUGAUGGAGAGGCUGUCACCAAACCUAAAAAGUAUCCUGUGUACAAAGACAGAGGAGAAGUACCAGAGUUCUGUCUUGGAAUGAAAUUUGAAUCGAAGGAAGAGUUCAGAAAAGCAAUAAUUACUUAUGGACUGCAUCACAGAAGGUUAAUUAGGUUUAAGAAAAAUGGUUCUGUAAGGUGCAGAGACGAGUGUGAUUGGGGGACAUGCCCCUGGUUCUGUUUACUUAGUAGGACAAGUAGGUGCAAUAGUUGGCAGGUGACAUCUUUCAUAGAUAAGCAUUGUUGCCCAAAAAGGAAGGACAACAAGCUGGUCACUUCAGUGAGGAUUGCACAAAAAUAUGAUAAGAUCAUUAGAGGCCACCCAGGAUGGAAGAUUGAUAGCUUGAAAGCACAUGUGCAAGAGGACAUGUUUGCAAAUGUGAGCACAACAGAAAUUAAGAGAGCAAAACAAAUUGUGAAGCAGAGAGUGUAUGAUUCCACCAAGUUCCAAUACUCAAAAGUGUUUGAUUAUCAGUUGGAAUUGCUGAGGAGCAAUCCAGGAAGCACUGUUGUUGUCAAACUUGAUCCAAAGGAAAGAGUACCAACAUUUCUGAGAAUGUAUGUGUGCUUGGCUGCUCUGAAAGAAGGUUUCAAGGCAGGUUGUAGGAAAGUAGUAGGAAUGGAUGGAUGUUUUUCAAAGGAGCAACAAAUGGAGAGCUUCUUUGUGCGAUAG
rnacentral:rRNA from 1 species